CGUGUAGGCGGGUAUAUAAGUCAGAAGUGAAAUCCUAUAGCUUAACUAUAGAACUGCUUUUGAAACUGUAUACCUAGAAUGUGGGAGAGGUAGAUGGAAUUUCUGGUGUAGGGUAAAAUCCGUAGAGAUCAGAAGGAAUACCGAUUGCGAAGGCGAUCUACUGGAACAUUAUUGACGCUGAGACGCGAAAGCGUGGGGAGCAAACA
rnacentral:rRNA from 1 species